rnacentral:rRNA from 1 species
ACUCCUACGGGAGGCAGCAGUAGGGAAUCUUCGGCAAUGGGGGCAACCCUGACCGAGCAACGCCGCGUGAGUGAAGAAGGUUUUCGGAUCGUAAAACUCUGUUGUUAGAGAAGAACGUUAAGUAGAGUGGAAAAUUACUUAAGUGACGGUAUCUAACCAGAAAGGGACGGCUAACUACGUGCCAGCAGCCGCGGUAAUACGUAGGUCCCAAGCGUUGUCCGGAUUUAUUGGGCGUAAAGCGAGCGCAGGUGGUUUCUUAAGUCUGAUGUAAAAGGCAGUGGCUCAACCAUUGUGUGCAUUGGAAACUGGGAGACUUGAGUGCAGGAGAGGAGAGUGGAAUUCCAUGUGUAGCGGUGAAAUGCGUAGAUAUAUGGAGGAACACCGGAGGCGAAAGCGGCUCUCUGGCCUGUAACUGACACUGAGGCUCGAAAGCGUGGGGAGCAAACAGGAUUAGAUACCCUGGUAGGCGUAGU